AACUCGCAGCUCUCCUGGAAGUGAAUCACGAGCUUUCCUGGGUGGAGGUAGCUGGAAGAGGCACCGAACCCCACCGAUAAGACCACAGGGCAGGGCAGGGGCACCAGAAAAGACCCUCCCCGCUCUCUUGGAUGUAAGGCCGGGCCAGGUUUUGGUUGAAGGUCACAUUGCUCCUGGGUCAGAGAACUAUAACAUCAAAGCGCCUUUAUGGUAAGCACACUGGCAGAAAGAGCCUGUCUAGGGCAACUUUGGGGCAGAAAGGGUGGUUAUAACCCAAGUAUGUACGUGAUGUUCUUUCCCUUCCGACCCUCCACCCCCAUGCUGCUCUCUGGCACCCUCACAUUUUCUGGUACCCCCUCCUCCAACCUGCCAUCCAUUGCCCACUAUUCCCACAAUUUUUUUGCAAAGUGUGCACAUUGCGGAUGGGGGGAAGGGGUAGCAGUGGCUGCGCUUGGUGCCUCCCCCUCUCGGGAGAUUACUGCAGCCCUGCCGGCGCUCAGUGGUAAAAGUUUGAACGUGUCUGCAGAGCUUAAUCAAAUGCUAAUUCCGUGUGGUGAAAGAAUUUGCUGGAAUCUGCAAGGGAGCUCCUGGCAGCAAGAAAAUGCGUUGAUUCACUCCCAAAUCUGCUUUGCCCAAGCCGGGUGCGAUUUAGACUGUAAAGCUGCAUUAAAUCACAAAGUGCUGUGUGGAUCACACAGCCAUCCUUUGUGUCGUUAAUGAAGGGAAAAACAGGGCUUUAUUCUGAAGCUUUGUGUAUAAUCAGAUGCCAUGUUGUAAAGCUCUGGAAAACACACCAGAAAUCAUAAUUGGGAGGAAAUAAAAGGGUUAGUCCAAAACAGCAUAUGAUUUAAAUAAGAAGGAAAAAGAAACUGCCCCCAAGAUUUGUGCGUUUCAAGAAUCAACUUUUAAUUCAUUCGCAGGGAGAUUACAGAAGGGGAGGAGCAGCCUUUAAAAUAGUAUGAAAAGCUAGUUUAGAUGUAAAUGAGAGAUAAUGGGCUUUCACCAGAAAAUAAGCAAUGGGGCCAAGUUUGUGCCCAGGGCUGGGGGAUGGGGGUGACAUCUUGGCCUGCAGGGCUCCGGAGCCCUCUAGAUCCAGGUGCCGCAGACAGCGUGGGGUUUGCGGCCUGUUAGGAGCAACGGGAGGAUUUGGGGCACAGGGUCUGGUAACCAGCAUUCGGAGGAAGAAAAAAUGGUGUUGCCUGCCCGUGUUGGUUCCCAAGGGUCCUG
rnacentral:lncRNA from 1 species